UGAUCCCGGGUAAACAAGUCAGAGUUACUCGCAGCAAAUAUUUUCUCCACGUAUGUGGAGG
rnacentral:sRNA from 1 species